rnacentral:rRNA from 1 species
UACGAAGGGUGCUAGCGUUGUUCGGAAUCACUGGGCGUAAAGCGUGCGUAGGCGGCUAGGUAAGUCGAUUGUGAAAGCCCCGGGCUUAACUCGGGAAUGGCAAUCGAAACUGCUUAGCUAGAGUAAGAUAGAGGACAGUGGAAUUCCUAGUGUAGGGGUGAAAUCCGUAGAUACUAGGAGGAACACCAGAAGCGAAGGCGACUGUCUGGGUCUUUACUGACGCUGAGGUACGAAAGCGUGGGGAGCAAACAGG